rnacentral:ncRNA from 1 species
UCAUCGCCCCCUGGAAACAGGGGAAACAAUAAAGGGGAAAGGAGAUCCGCCCCAGCUUGCGGUGCGGCGGGAACGCCGCGGGCCUUCUGGAAGGGCCAGGCGAAAGCCAAAGCUGAUCUGUUAUGGCG